CCGGGCGCUGAGGGCGCUCGGAGGGAGCGGGAGCCCGGCUCGGCUCGGCCCGGCCCGCAGAUCCCGGGAUCGGGGAAUUGCGGCGGAAAAGCGAGAUCAUCCACGUCCGGCCCUGCCCCUGCCCGGCCGUCCCACCCUGAGCAUCCCUGAGAGCGCUGUCCAAACGCUCCUGCAGCUCUGGCGGCCUCGGGGCCCGGUCAGUGCCAGACCACCCUCUGCUGGAAGAGCUUUUCCCUAAUUUCAGACCUAAACGUGCCCUGCCACAGCUCCGGCUGCUCCCUGCCUGCUGUCCCUUGUCACGAGGGCAGAGGUCGGAGCUGCAGGUCAGCUCAGCGCUGCUGCUGAUCUGGAAAAUGGGAAUGCUGCUGUACAACAGGCACUGUGAACGCAAGGUGGCAGGAUUUAAAAAGCACAUUUUAAAUACAGUUGCAUCCCAGAAAGGUGGCGAUAUGAAACUCGUUUCAUGGAGCACGAGUGAAGUGUUGGAAGUAACCAGGAGAGGAGCUGCAACGUUGUUCUCCAGUACAGCCAGAAAACAGGAUGAUAUUCCCAGUGAAACGACAAUAAAAGGUCAGGAAUGAAGUAAAUUUAAACCAUCGAGAAUUAGAAGAAAUAAAGAAAAAAUGGGGCUGAUUAGCUUAAGAGCUUCCUUCUGCAAAACUGGGGAUUUGUGAAGGAAUUUCGAAUGAGUUGGAGAUGGGACCUCUGAGUUUUUUCGAUGGUGUGAUUUAUUUUUGUAUCUUCUGCGCAGGCAGCAAGGGUGAGUUGGGCUCAAUCUUCCCUGCGUGGCUCAGAAGGUCACAAGAGCCUUAGUUACAAGACCUGUUAAGGAUUUAUUGACCAAUAAAACACCACCAACAAGGAUA